rnacentral:rRNA from 1 species
GGCCUAACACAUGCAAGUCGAGCGGAAACGACACUAACAAUCCUUCGGGUGCGUUAAUGGGCGUCGAGCGGCGGACGGGUGAGUAAUGCCUAGGAAAUUGCCUUGAUGUGGGGGAUAACCAUUGGAAACGAUGGCUAAUACCGCAUAAUGCCUACGGGCCAAAGAGGGGGACCUUCGGACCUCUCGCGUCAAGAUAUGCCUAGGUGGGAUUAGCUAGUUGGUGAGGUAAUGGCUCACCAAGGCGACGAUCCCUAGCUGGUCUGAGAGGAUGAUCAGCCACACUGGAACUGAGACACGGUCCAGACUCCUACGGGAGGCAGCAGUGGGGAAUAUUGCACAAUGGGCGAAAGCCUGAUGCAGCCAUGCCGCGUGUAUGAAGAAGGCCUUCGGGUUGUAAAGUACUUUCAGUUGUGAGGAAGGGGGUAGCGUUAAUAGCGCUAUCUCUUGACGUUAGCAACAGAAGAAGCACCGGCUAACUCCGUGCCAGCAGCCGCGGUAAUACGGAGGGUGCGAGCGUUAAUCGGAAUUACUGGGCGUAAAGCGCAUGCAGGUGGUUCAUUAAGUCAGAUGUGAAAGCCCGGGGCUCAACCUCGGAACUGCAUUUGAAACUGGUGAACUAGAGUACUGUAGAGGGGGGUAGAAUUUCAGGUGUAGCGUUGAAAUGCGUAGAGAUCUGAAGGAAUACCAGUGGCGAA